GCCGCGCUGUCCCCCCAGUUCAUGGUGCACGAGGUGCCGGGCCAGGAGCUGGAGGUGGAGCUGUUCGACAAAGACCCCGACAAGGACGAUCUCCUGGGCAGGAUGAAGCUGGACCUCGGGGAGGUGCUCAGGGCUCGGGUGAUGGAGGAGUGGUUCCCGCUGCAGGAGGGGGGGCAGGGCCGGCUCCAGCUGCGCCUCCAGUGGCUCUCGCUGCUCCGCGACGCCUCCAGCCUGGA